rnacentral:lncRNA from 1 species
GGCGUUGGUUGUUAAGACAUCCAGCCAGCUGCUCCAAGUCUGCCUCUCCUGACGGGCAAAAUCCAUUGCCUUGGGCCACGCGAGGGCCUCUGGGAGCCGGCUGGUGGCCCUUCCUGUGUCCUGCAGCUUCACCUGGACCAAAGACUCAAGUCCUCGAGACAGGAUGAACGCGAACUAAGACCUGAACUACGGAAGGACGGGCCAAGGGGUGGAGACCAGAAUCGUGAACGGAAGCAGGUGACAUGGCAGAGAGAACAGACCGAGAAAUUACAGUUCAUGGGCAAAGGCCAAACACCCAGCCCGAGGCACAAAGGGUCAAGGCUUAGGACUGGGUCUCACCGAAAAACACCCGCAAAUGGUCAGGGUAAGUACAGCGAGCGCUUCACUUGCGAGGCACAAACAUUAACAUUGGUAUUAAGACU